ACAGUGACGCCCAGCCGGACCUCUGCUUGUCUGCCAAAACUAGACAGACACACGGACUGAAAUAACUCACUGUCAGGCUCACCAGCUCGGCAACAGACUUUUUUCAUAGCAUCGCCUGGGAGCUCAGCCGACAACAAAGACUUUUCAAGGCUUGUUCUGAAACAAGACUCAUCCACAGCACGGCCCAAGCUGGGCUGCACCAAGUAAACCUUGCUGCACAACUACAACUAACUCCAGCUUAACCCAACGCAUCCCCGGACCUGCUGAGAUGACAUCAACUACAAUGAAACUCUUCAACAUUUCCAAUUAAUCCAGCAUGGAUUUCCAGUUUGAAAAUUGGAUACAAAGACUAGUGACAUCAAGUAGUGCAUGCAUCCAGUCAAGUUUAGGAAGGACUCAUGGUGAUGUCUCAGCAAAGGAAAAGCACCAAGCACUUACCUUUUGAGCAUUGCAAGCUCAGGCUUGUUAUUUUCAUAAGAACAACGAUGAGCGGAGUGAAUUGCGAGGAAGGUGUGAUACACAUUCAUUGUAAUAGUCGACAGAAUCAUUUCCAGUGUUUUCAAAGGCUAAACACAAAGGGAAAUAAUACCUGAAAUUGUUGGUAUUAUUUAUCCUUCUAAAGCAUGGUUUUAAGUGCCAAGAACAAAUGGAAAAGUGUCUGAAAGGAUGUACACUGACCUUCCUGUUUUAUGGUCCUGUGUUAAUUUUUCAUGGUGUGAAAUGGCUCUCGAAGACAAAACAACAUUUUUGUAUUUACUAUGCAUGAGUAAUUAGGCAUUUUCUAGAUGGCUCAGUGCGUGACUCAGCAUUACUUUGUAUGGCUGGCACGUCUUACAAAACAA